AACGAACGCUGGCGGCAGGCCUAACACAUGCAAGUCGAACGCCGUAGCAAUACGGAGUGGCAGACGGGUGAGUAACGCGUGGGAACAUGCCCUUCGGUUCGGAAUAACUCAGGGAAACUUGAGCUAAUACCGGAUACGUCCAAGGCUUGCCUUGGAGAAAGAGUUAUCGCCGGAGGAUUGGCCCGCGUCGGAUUAGCUAGUUGGUGGGGUAAUGGCUCACCAACGCGACGAUCAGUAGCUGGUCUGAGCGGAUGUUCAGCCACAUUGGGACUGAGACACGGCCCAAGCUCCUACGGGAGGCAGCAGUGGGGAAUAUUGGACAAUGGGCGCAAGCCUGAUCCAGCCAUGCCGCGUGAGUGAUGAAGGCCCUAGGGUUGUAAAGCUCUUUUGCCCGGGAAGAUAAUGACGGUACCGGGAGAAUAAGCCCCGGCUAACUUCGUGCCAGCCGCCGCCGUAA
rnacentral:rRNA from 1 species